rnacentral:rRNA from 1 species
GUGGGGAAUAUUGGACAAUGGGCGAAAGCCUGAUCCAGCCAUGCCGCGUGAGUGAUGAAGGCCCUAGGGUUGUAAAGCUCUUUCACCGGGGAAGAUAAUGACGGUACCCGGAGAAGAAGCCCCGGCUAACUUCGUGCCAGCAGCCGCGGUAAUACGAAGGGGGCUAGCGUUGCUCGGAAUUACUGGGCGUAAAGGGCGCGUAGGCGGACAGUUUAGUCAGAGGUGAAAGCCCAGGGCUCAACCUUGGAAUUGCCUUUGAUACUGGCUGUCUUGAGUACGGGAGAGGUGAGUGGAACUCCGAGUGUAGAGGUGAAAUUCGUAGAUAUUCGGAAGAACACCAGUGGCGAAGGCGACUCACUGGCCCGUUACUGACGCUGAGGCGCGAAAGCGUGGGGAGCAAACAGGAUUAGAAACCCCUGUAGUCC